rnacentral:rRNA from 1 species
AGAGUUUGAUCCUGGCUCAGGAUGCCUUCUGGCGGCGUGCUUAACACAUGCAAGUCGAACGAAGCACCUUGAGAUCUUCGGAAGGAAAGGUGACUGAGUGGCGGACGGGUGAGUAACGCGUGGGUAACCUGCCUCAUACAGGGGGAUAACAGUUAGAAAUGACUGCUAAUACCGCAUAAGCGCACGAUACCGCAUGGUAUUGUGUGAAAAACUCCGGUGGUAUGAGAUGGACCCGCGUCUGAUUAGCUAGUUGGUGGGGUAACGGCCUACCAAGGCGACGAUCAGUAGCCGACCUGAGAGGGUGACCGGCCACAUUGGGACUGAGACACGGCCCAAACUCCUACGGGAGGCAGCAGUGGGGAAUAUUGCACAAUGGGCGAAAGCCUGAUGCAGCGACGCCGCGUGAGCGAAGAAGUAUUUCGGUAUGUAAAGCUCUAUCAGCAGGGAAGAAAAUGACGGUACCUGACUAAGAAGCACCGGCUAAAUACGUGCCAGCAGCCGCGGUAAUACGUAUGGUGCAAGCGUUAUCCGGAUUUACUGGGUGUAAAGGGAGCGUAGACGGCUGUGCAAGUCUGAUGUGAAAACCCGGGGCUCAACCCCGGGUAUGCAUUGGAAACUGUGCAUCUAGAGUUGCCGGAGAGGUAAGCGGAAUUCUUAUUGUUGCGGUAAAAUGUGUAGCUUUUUUAGGAACACCAGUGGCGUAGGUGGCUUAUUGGACGUUAACUUCUGUUGAGGCUCCAAAAGAGUGGGGACCCCUUUGAAGUAUAUACCCUCAUAUUCCACACAAUAAACGCCCCUUUAAAGGGUGUUGGUCAGCAAAUCUGUUCGGUCCCGCAGCAAACGCAAUAAGUAGUCCCCCUGGGGAGGGACGUUGCCAAGAAUGAAACUUCAAGGGAAUGACGGGGACCCCCACCAAGCGGUGGAGCAUGUGGUUAAUUCGAAGCAACGCGAAGAACCUUACCUGGUCUGGACAUCCGGAUGACCGCUGGGUAAUGCCAGCUUUUCUUCGGAACAUCCGAGACAGGUGGUGCAUGGUUGUCGUCAGCUCGUGUCGUGAGAUGUUGGGUUAAGUCCCGCAACGAGCGCAACCCCUAUCUUCAGUAGCCAGCAUUAAGGAUGGGCACACUGGAGAGACUGCCAGGGAUAACCUGGAGGAAGGUGGGGAUGACGUCAAAUCAUCAUGCCCCUUAUGACCAGGGCUACACACGUGCUACAAUGGCGUAAACAAAGGGAAGCGACCCUGUGAAGGUGAGCAAAUCUCAAAAAUAACGUCUCAGUUCGGAUUGUAGUCUGCAACUCGACAACAUGAAGCUGGAAUCGCUAGUAAUCGCGAAUCAGAAUGUCGCGGUGAAUACGUUCCCGGGUCUUGCACACAACGCCCGUCA